rnacentral:misc_RNA from 1 species
GCUGAGGUCGACGCCUCGCCGCUGGUCCCUCAGCCGAAGCUCCGCUCCACUAUCACCGGCGGCGCCUCCGCCGCCCGGGAUCCUGGGCCGAAGAAGACGAAGGGGAGGGGGUUUCGGGAGGAGGCCGCCUCCGAGCGUAAUAACCGGUUCGCCGGGAGGGAUUUCGACUCGCUGGAUUCAGACGGUGGGCCUGGUCCCCUACGAUCUAUUGAGGGGUGGAUUGUGUUGGUCACUGGAGUACAUGAAGAGGCACAAGAAGAUGACCUCCACAAUGCAUUUCGUGAGUUUGGGCAGGUCAAGAAUCUGCAUCUAAAUCUGGACCGGCGGACUGGAUUUGUCAAGGGAUAUGCACUGAUUGAAUAUGAAAACUUCGAGGAAGCACACGCUGCAAUCACUACUCUGAAUGGAGCUGAACUUCUGACACAGCCGAUUUAUG